CCGUUCGGGUACGUAAAGCUUCUUUAGGGUUGGGAAGAAGGUUAGUAGAGGAAAUGCUAUUAAUUUGUCUGUACCGACAGAAUAAGCACCGGCAAACUCUGUGC
rnacentral:rRNA from 1 species